UACGUAGGUCCCGAGCGUUGUCCGGAUUUAUUGGGCGUAAAGCGAGCGUAGGCGGUUUGAUAAGUCAGAAGUAAAAGGCUGUGGCUCAACCAUAGAGCGCUUUUGAAACUGUCAAACUUGAGUGCAGAAGGGGGGAGUGGAAUUCCAUGUGUAGCGGUGAAAUGCGUAGAUAUAUGGAGGAACACCGGUGGCGAAAGCGGCUUUCUGGACUGUAACUGACACUGAGGCACGAAAGCGUGGGUAGCAAACAGG
rnacentral:rRNA from 1 species